rnacentral:lncRNA from 1 species
GAGGCUAAGGAGGGUACUGCGAGGAGGGCGGCUGAGAAGGCAAAGGAUGAAGCUGCCAAGCAAAGGCUCGCAAGAGUGCAAGGGAAAUCUCUAAACUUCCUUGUCGGGAGGGAGAAGGUCCUGGCCCCGACGUUGGUUGAGGCUCUACCAGCCGAGAUCCAAAGCACUAUUUAGAGCUUCCACAAAUUCUGGACGGACCGG